rnacentral:rRNA from 1 species
GGGAGCUCUGCUCCCUGAUGUUAGCGGCGGACGGGUGAGUAACACGUGGGUAACCUGCCUGUAAGACUGGGAUAACUCCGGGAAACCGGGGCUAAUACCGGAUGGUUGUUUGAACCGCAUGGUUCAAACAUAAAAGGUGGCUUCGGCUACCACUUACAGAUGGACCCGCGGCGCAUUAGCUAGUUGGUGAGGUAACGGCUCACCAAGGCGACGAUGCGUAGCCGACCUGAGAGGGUGAUCGGCCACACUGGGACUGAGACACGGCCCAGACUCCUACGGGAGGCAGCAGUAGGGAAUCUUCCGCAAUGGACGAAAGUCUGACGGAGCAACGCCGCGUGAGUGAUGAAGGUUUUCGGAUCGUAAAGCUCUGUUGUUAGGGAAGAACAAGUACCGUUCGAAUAGGGCGGUACCUUGACGGUACCUAACCAGAAAGCCACGGCUAACUACGUGCCAGCAGCCGCGGUAAUACGUAGGUGGCAAGCGUUGUCCGGAAUUAUUGGGCGUAAAGGGCUCGCAGGCGGUUUCUUAAGUCUGAUGUGAAAGCCCCCGGCUCAACCGGGGAGGGUCAUUGGAAACUGGGGAACUUGAGUGCAGAAGAGGAGAGUGGAAUUCCACGUGUAGCGGUGAAAUGCGUAGAGAUGUGGAGGAACACCAGUGGCGAAGGCGACUCUCUGGUCUGUAACUGACGCUGAGGAGCGAAAGCGUGGGGAGCGAACAGGAUUAGAUACCCUGGUAGUCCACGCCGUAAACGAUGAGUGCUAAGUG